UUAGUAGCGGCGAGCGAACAGGGAAAAGCCCAGCACUGAAUUGCGCGUUUAAGGACGCAGCGAAAUGUAGUGUUUGGGAGAAUCCAUUAUUCCGAAAUUUAACAUUGCGUCCAAGUCCUUCUUGAACGGGGCCAUUUACCCAUAGAGGGUGCCAGGCCCGUAGUGACCAUUGUUAAUUACGGAAGGAUUUCUCCUUAGAGUCGGGUUGCUUGAGAGUGCAGCCCUAAGUGGGUGGUAAACUCCAUCUAAGGCUAAAUAUAACCACGAGACCGAUAGCGAACAAGUACCGUGAGGGAAAGUUGAAAAGAACUUUGAAGAGAGAGUUCAAUAGUACGUGAAACCGUUUAAGGGUAAACCUGAGAAACCCGAAAGUUCGAACGAGGAGAUUCAGUGUGUMUCGAUAAAUACGAGUGCGGUAUGUAGACGACUGUUGCUUGCAAUAAUUGCUUCUUACCUGCGCCGUUGUUUGUCGAACGCAUGCACUUCUCCUCCAGUAGGACGUCGCAACCCGUUGGGUGUCGGUCUGAGGCUUGCAGUGGAGCCCAAUUGUUGGUCUAUGGCCAUACGAUUGAACCUGUAAUGUCCCGACCGGCUGCUCGACGGUAUAAUAAUGGCGCAAAGCCGCGACUAGCUCGCGUUCGGCCCGAUACAAGCACAAACGGUUACUCAAUCAUUGGACUUGUGCCGAUCUUGAAGCCAGUUGACUGUUAGUGUCGGUGUUCCCGGACAGACUUUGUACACGCCCGUUUGCGACGCUAUAGCUUUGGGUACUUUCAGGGCCCGUCUUGAAACACGGACCAAGGAGUCUAGCAUAUGCGCGAGUCACUGGGACUAAUGAAUCCUAAAGGCGAAAUGAAAGUGAAGGCAGAGCCUAGCUCUUCUAAGGGAAGACGGGUGACUUCGGUCGCCUUGCACUCCCGGGGCGUCUCACUCUCAUUGCGAGAAGAGGCGCACCUAGAGCGCAAAUGCUAUUGCCCGAAAGGUGGUGAACUAUGCGUGAUCAGGGC
rnacentral:rRNA from 1 species